GAUGAACGCUGGCGGCGUGCUUAACACAUGCAAGUCGAACGAAGAAGAGUUGAAUGAGAGCUUCGGCAGGAUUUCUUCUCAUCUUAGUGGCGUACGGGUGAGUAACGUGUGGGCAACCUGCCCUGUACUGUGGAAUAAUCACUGGAAACGGUGACUAAUACCGCAUGUCAUCGCCGGAUGGCAUCCUCUGGUGAAAAAAGGAGCAAUUCGGUACAGGAUGGGCCCGCAUCUGAUUAGCUAGUUGGUGAGAUAACAGCCCACCAAGGCGACGAUGAGUAGCCGACCUGAGAGGGUGAUCGGCCACAUUGGGACUAAGACACGGCCCAAACUCCUACGGGAGGCAGCAGUGGGGAAUAUUGCACAAUAGGGGAAACCCUGAUGCAGCAACGCCGCGUGAAGGAUGAAGGUUUUCGGAUCGUAAACUUCUAUCAACAGGGAAGAAACAAAUGACGGUACCUGAAUAAGAAGCCCCGGCUAACUACGUGCCAGCCGCCGCUGUAACAC
rnacentral:rRNA from 1 species